rnacentral:rRNA from 1 species
CCUACGGGUGGCAGCAGUGGGGAAUAUUGGGCAAUGGGCGCAAGCCUGACCCAGCAACGCCGCGUGAAGGAAGAAGGCUUUCGGGUUGUAAACUUCUUUUCUCAGGGACGAAGCAAGUGACGGUACCUGAGGACUAAGCCACGGCUAACUACGUGCCAGCAGCCGCGGUACUACGUAGGUGGCAAGCGUUAUCCGGAUUUACUGGGUGUAAAGGGCGUGUAGGCGGGAAAGCAAGUCAGAUGUGAAAACCAUGGGCUCAACCUGUGGUCUGCAUUUGAAACUGUUUUUCUUGAGUACUGGAGAGGCAGACGGAAUUCCUAGUGUAGCGGUGAAAUGCGUAGAUAUUAGGAGGAACACCAGUGGCGAAGGCGGUCUGCUGGACAGCAACUGACGCUGAGGCGCGAAAGCGUGGGGAGCAAACAGGAUUAGAUACCCCUGUAGUC